CCUACGGGAGGCAGCAGUGGGGAAUAUUGGACAAUGGGCGAAAGCCUGAUCCAGCAAUUCCGCGUGUGUGAAGAAGGCCUUCGGGUUGUAAAGCACUUUAGUGGGGGAAGAAACAGCUUGGCCACACCAAGCCUUGACGGUACCCCAAGAAUAAGCACCGGCUAACUCUGUGCCAGCAGCCGCGGUAAUACAGAGGGUGCAAGCGUUAAUCGGAUUUACUGGGCGUAAAGGGUGCGUAGGUGGCUAUUUAAGUCGGAUGUGAAAGCCCGGGGCUCAACCUCGGAAUUGCAUUCGAUACUGAGUGGCUAGAGUUCGGUAGAGGGCGGCGGAAUUUCCGGUGUAGCGGUGAAAUGCGUAGAUAUCGGAAGGAACAUCAAUGGCGAAGGCAGCCGCCUGGGCCUGGACUGACACUGAGGCACGAAAGCGUGGGUAGCAAACAGGAUUAGAUACCCUGGUAGUCCACGCCGUAAACGAUGAGAACUUGACGUUGGUUCGCUUUACGAAUCGGUGUCGCAGCUAACGCGAUAAGUUCUCCGCCUGGGGAUACGGCCGCAAGGUUGAAACUUAAUGAAUUGACGG
rnacentral:rRNA from 1 species